UACGUAGGGGGCAAGCGUUGUCCGGAAUUAUUGGGCGUAAAGAGCGCGCAGGCGGUUUGAGAAGUCAGAUGUGAAAGAGGCCGGCUUAACCGGCAAGGGUCAUUUGAAACUGACAGACUAGAGUACAGCAGAGGAUAGCGGAAUUCCCGGUGUAGUGGUGAAAUGCGUAGAUAUCGGGAGGAACACCAGUGGCGAAGGCGGCUAUCUGGGCUGAAACUGACGCUGAGGCGCGAAGGCUAGGGUAGCAAACAGG
rnacentral:rRNA from 1 species